UACGUAGGGUGCGAGCGUUAAUCGGAAUUACUGGGCGUAAAGCGUGCGCAGGCGGUUCGUUGUGUCUGCUGUGAAAGCCCCGGGCUCAACCUGGGAAUGGCAGUGGAAACUGGCGAGCUGGAGUGUGGCAGAGGGGGGUGGAAUUCCGCGUGUAGCAGAGAAAUGCGUAGAGAUGCGGAGGAACACCGAUGGCGAAGGCAGCCCCCUGGGCUGACACUGACGCUCAGGCACGAAAGCGUGGGGAGCAAACAGG
rnacentral:rRNA from 1 species